rnacentral:rRNA from 1 species
UACGAAGGGGGCUAGCGUUGCUCGGAAUUACUGGGCGUAAAGGGCGCGUAGGCGGAUAUCUAAGUCGGGGGUGAAAGCCCGGGGCUCAACCUCGGAAUUGCCUUCGAUACUGGCUAUCUUGAGUACGGGAGAGGUGUGUGGAACUCCGAGUGUAGAGGUGAAAUUCGUAGAUAUUCGGAAGAACACCAGUGGCGAAGGCGACACACUGGCCCGUUACUGACGCUGAGGCGCGAAAGCGUGGGGAGCAAAC